rnacentral:rRNA from 1 species
GAUGAACGCUGGCGGCGUGCCUAAUACAUGCAAGUCGAGCGAACAGACGAGGAGCUUGCUCCUCUGACGUUAGCGGCGGACGGGUGAGUAACACGUGGAUAACCUACCUAUAAGACUGGGAUAACUUCGGGAAACCGGAGCUAAUACCGGAUAAUAUAUUGAACCGCAUGGUUCAAUAGUGAAAGACGGUUUUGCUGUCACUUAUAGAUGGAUCCGCGCCGCAUUAGCUAGUUGGUAAGGUAACGGCUUACCAAGGCAACGAUGCGUAGCCGACCUGAGAGACUGAUCGGCCACACUGGAACUGAGACACGGUCCAGACUCCUACGGGAGGCAGCAGUAGGGCAUCUUCCGCAAUGGGCGAAAGCCUGACGGAGCAACGCCGCGUGAGUGAUGAAGGUCUUCGGAUCGUAAAACUCUGUUAUUAGGGAAGAACAAAUGUGUAAGUAACUAUGCACGUCUUGACGGUACCUAAUCAGAAAGCCACGGCUAACUACGUG